UACGAAGGGGGCUAGCGUUGCUCGGAAUCACUGGGCGUAAAGGGUGCGUAGGCGGGUCUUAAGUCAGGGGUGAAAUCCUGGAGCUCAACUCCAGAACUGCCUUUGAUACUGAAGAUCUUGAGUUCGGGAGAGGUGAGUGGAACUGCGAGUGUAGAGGUGAAAUUCGUAGAUAUUCGCAAGAACACCAGUGGCGAAGGCGGCUCACUGGCCCGAUACUGACGCUGAGGCACGAAAGCGUGGGGAGCAACAGG
rnacentral:rRNA from 1 species